rnacentral:rRNA from 1 species
UACGUAGGGUGCAAGCGUUGUCCGGAAUUAUUGGGCGUAAAGAGCGUGUAGGCGGCCAGAUAAGUCCGCUGUGAAAUCUCGAGGCUCAACUUCGAGCUGUCGGUGGAAACUAUCUGGCUAGAGUCCGGAAGAGGAGAAUGGAAUUCCUGGUGUAGCGGUGAAAUGCGCGAUAUCAGGAAGAACACCCGUGGCGAAGGCGGUUCUCUGGGACGGUACUGACGCUGAGACGCGAAAGCGUGGGGAGCGAACAGG